UCAUGCCUAUAACAUAGCGUUAAUGCACCGUAUCCCAUUAGAAAUCCAUAGUUAAGUGCGCUCAAGCUAGAUUAGUAGUGGGAUGGGUGACCACCCAGGAAGUCCCACUGUUUUACAUGCC
rnacentral:rRNA from 1 species